UACGAAGGGUGCAAACGUUGCUCGGAAUUAUUGGGCGUAAAGCGCACGUAGGCGGCUUAGCAAGUCGGAAGUGAAAGCCCUCGGCUCAACCAAGGAAGUGCUUUCGAAACUGCUGAGCUUGAGUACUUAAGAGGAUCGCGGAAUUCCUGGUGUAGCGGUGAAAUGCGUAGAUAUCAGGAGGAACACCGGUGGCGAAGGCGGCGACCUGGACCGGUACUGACGCUGAGACGCGAAAGCGUGGGGAGCAAACAGG
rnacentral:rRNA from 1 species